rnacentral:rRNA from 1 species
GAUGAACGCUGGCGGCGUGCUUAACACAUGCAAGUCGAACGGAAAGGCCCAAGCUUGCUUGGGUACUCGAGUGGCGAACGGGUGAGUAACACGUGGGUGAUCUGCCCUGCACUUCGGGAUAAGCCUGGGAAACUGGGUCUAAUACUGGAUAGGACCACUUCUUGGAUGUUGUGGUGGAAAGUUUUUUCGGGGUGGGAUGAGCUCGCGGCCUAUCAGCUUGUUGGUGGGGUAAUGGCCUACCAAGGCGUCGACGGGUAGCCGGCCUGAGAGGGUGUACGGCCACAUUGGGACUGGGAUACGGCCCAGACUCCUACGGGAGGCAGCAGUGGGGAAUAUUGCACAAUGGGCGCAAGCCUGAUGCAGCGACGCCGCGGGGGGGAUGACGGCCUUCGGGUUGGAAACUCCUUUCGCUAGGGACGAAGCGUUUUGUGACGGUACCUGGAGAAGAAGCACCGGCUAACUACGUG